UUAAAAGACAACCACAUUGAAACUACAACAUAGAAGAUAAUACAACUAGACAUUACCGUGUUGGAGAGAGAGAGAGUUGACUGAGCCAAAUCCGAGCCGCCGGUCACUGAAAUCUAAUAAGCUUGGAAAGAGAGAGCAGUUAUCGGUGUGCGCAGCUGAGAUCAUUGGCUUUGAACAUGGGUUGGACAGGACGUUCCUCGCUGAGAUGAGUGGGUCGUCGUGUCCAGAGCCGUGGAGGCUCAUAAAUCUGGCGAGAAAAGAACAAGAAAGGUCGGUGUGGAGGCUCAUAAAUCUGAGUGGGUCGUCGUGUCCAGAUCCCGUCAUAGCCGAUCUUCCCCGUAAGGAGAAAAGUCAUCAUCGAAGACGAAGAAGAAAACGCAAGUUGAGGAAGCUUCAGAUUUGGCAAAUUUAAGAGCUGAGAACAUCGCACCAAAGGAAGAGAAAUACAGGUCUCCAGAAACAGAUUUGAAGUCAGCCCAGUCAUAAAAGAUGGAGAAGGUGGAGGGUCAGGCGGUUCUGGUGGUUGAGAAAAUCCGGGCAACUACAGAGGAAGCGGCUUCGAAGUUGAACUCUUCGUCUUCGGACUUAAACCAGAGGUAGCAACAUUGGAAGCACAAUUUCUCAUCAGAGAGACAGAUCUUUCAAAUGGAAAGGGUAUAUCCGGAUGAGAAAUGUAAUCUUCUAGGUUGCAGAAGGUCUUCACCUAUUGGUGAGACGAUUCUUCGGGAAACUCAACAUUUUGGCUUUCUCUUAUGAUUUAGUUUUAAAUAUAUUAGUUUCUCUUUAGUUUUAGAUCAUAAUUACAACUAAUGGAACAUUAGGAAUCUGUUUGUUCUAGGACUAAUUUGAUAGAAGUUCAUACUCGUGCUGGCCAAGAGAGAAAGUUGAUAAGUUGGAAUAAAGAUAUUUUGCUAAGGCUAAACCACUUAAUCUCCCAAACGAGUCUCAAUUAUGGGUUGUGAUUGUUGAGUGUGCGGUUAGCUUUAGCAAAAAAGAGAGUAUUGAUUGAUGCAUGGCUAGGUUGCAUGUUUAGUAAUGUGAUGAUCGUAAUUGAUAUGCUUGUGAAAUAUAUUGGUUUAUCUCGUUAGGAUCUCGGCUUAGGGGGUAUAACCUGUUUGUGGUAUAUUGAUGUUGUGAUGCAUAUAAUUGAUUGGUUGUUAUAUAAUUUGAGUUUACACUAGGAUAGUAUACUAUGAUUGAGCACGAUGCAACAGGAAAAUUGUUAAGCAACAUACUUUUAGGAGUGAUCUGUGAGGGUCUGACGCUAAGGUAGAGUGUUGUGAGAGCCAUUGGCGUCCGCUCGAGAACCGUGCCUUUUCUGGGGCUGUACCAUAACUGGUUCUGCGUAGGAGGCGAAGGCACAUGUGAUAGGGGUAGUUACCCUCGACCGUGUGGCUGCAUGAAAAUGCAGCAAUAUUAUGUAUUGGUGGUUAGAUUUGCUAACUUUAUGUGUAAUGUUGAGGUGUGUAAUGCGGAAUGGACUUCAUAUCAAGUUGCAGAAAUAGCAAGAUGGAGCCUCGAAGAUCGAUGAUGAUCUAGCCAUUCGUGAAGAGUGAAUGUUUCGGUUACUUGACUGCCUUAUUUUUUCUUUGCUUAAUGUUUAUAUCCUUCAUUGAUGCAUAUUGCCGAGGGGGGAGAUGAUUUAAUUUUUAGGGAAACCGAUUCCCUAGGUAAAUUAGUUGCUCAUUAAACUCUUUGUUUGUAUGAAACCAUAGGGGUAUCUUCGGUUGCGAAGGAGAUGAGCUGCUGGCAUAGUGUUUAUACCUUUUACAAAUUAUCAUGUAUUGUAAUAUAUAGUAAGUUUUAAAGUGGUGCACCUUAUAUAUGCUUGAUGUUGUUUGAACCUUCAUAUUAUUUAAAUAAGAAAGUUAUGUGAAAACGCUUAGGUUCUAUAUGAUAUUAGUCAUAGUCUGGGAAGAACCAGUUAACGGUUUCAAACUCAGGUUGCAAAGAAUUAAAAUAGAACCAAUAAAGAACCCGUUCUCAGACAUUUUACCUUGGGAUUUUGGAUUUGUUCUGGGAACCUCGGGUUGGGAAGGACGGGAAGAGCACACAGCAGCGAGGACGAGGAUGAGAUGGGUGAGGAUGCGGAGGAGAUGGGCGAGGACGUCGUGGGCGAGGAGGAACAGCUAGGAAAAACGGGCGAGGACAAAUGGGCGAGCACUUUGGUCCGGGUGACAGGUCCAUUAUCGUCUUCUGUUAAUCGUUUUGUGUAAUGUCGUUCAGUUUUCCGAAGGUUAUUUAGUAAACAUCAAGUUUAGCUUGAUUUAACAAAAUUUAUCUUCGGCAAAGAUUGUUUCGAAGUUUGUUAUUCGAAACUUAUAUCAUAAAUUUUAUUAGGUUUAUUUUAUGAAAAUGUUUGGUUAAAAUUUGUCAAAAUUAGUUUUACCAAAGUUUAUUUCGUAAAACUAUUUAUUUAUUUUUUCUUAUGAAUGAGUUCCUUAUAACUUUUUCGAUGAUAAUUUAGCAGAAAUUUAUUUUGUAAAACUGUUUAUUUUCGUUUUAUGAAACAUUUUCUGUAAAAUUUUAUCGAUGUUAGUUUUACAAAAAUUUAUUUCGUAAAAAUAUUUUAUUUUCAUUUUACAAAAGAUAUUGGAAAACUUUUUCGAAAUUAAUUUUUUUUUUUUUUUUACGAAAGAUCAUAAAAUUUUAUUGGAAAAUAAGGACGUUCUUAUUAUAUCCUUUCAAUGGAAUGGUUUUCUCGAAUAAUUUCUUGUUCUUCACAUCGAAAUUGUUUCGCUACAUUUUUGGGGAAUUAUACAAAGUCUAUUCUAAUGUAUCGUCAUUUUGAUCGAAAUAGCGUAUGCGGAAUUAUUCUAUCGACAUUUCGGUUACGUGGAUGAUACUUUAUUUUACGUUUAUGUGCUUUAUAUGUUGUUGAUAUCACUAGGACCGAUUUAAAUCCAUCAAUAGUUUUUAAUAUUUUUAUUUUUUAGUUUUGGAGAUGAAUGCACAUUAUGGUUUUUCCCGUUGCAGGAUUUCUUUCAGUUCUUUGGUUCACUCAAAAAAUUUUGGCCGAACAAACCGAAUAUGUAAGAGACUACUGCAUCUCUUUCAGUUCUCCCCACUGCAGGAUUGAUGAGGAU
rnacentral:lncRNA from 1 species